rnacentral:sRNA from 1 species
GAAAAUGUGUCUGUGUAGGUUCUUUUACACAACUAACAGAGCUUCAUAUAUACCAGAUUCUCUCAAGUCUGAUUCGAAUUAGUUCCUCCAUGUUCUCAAUCUUUGUAUGUGCAUUAGACUUCAUCGAAAAUGGCUGAUGACAAGAGCCUCUGAACAAACUCUGAUUUGUGCCUCCUCUCUUCCCGAUCUUUUAACGAGACCGGUGAGAUGAACACUUGUCUCU